AUUUGUAAAUAUAAUCUUGUAACAAAUAAAAUAGUAGUAAGAAAAGUAAAUAAAAUGUAAAUAAAAGUGUUGUACCCAAACCCCACUCAUUUCCCCAGGAGUUUUUAAUUUUAAGUAAUAUAGAAAUAAAAAAAAAAAAAAAAAAAAAAAAAAAAAAAAAAAAAAAAAAAAAAAAAAAAAAAAAAAAAAAAAAAAAAAAAAAAAAACCUAACCUAACCUAACCUAACCUAACCUAA
rnacentral:misc_RNA from 1 species